rnacentral:rRNA from 1 species
UACGUAGGGGCUAGCGUUAUCCUGAAUUACUGGGCGUAAAGGGUGCGUAGGUGGUUUCUUAAGUCAGAGGUGAAAGGCUACGGCUCAACCGUAGUAAGCCUUUGAAACUGGGAAACUUGAGUGCAGGAGAGGAGAGUGGAAUUCCUAGUGUAGCGGUGAAAUGCGUAGAUAUUAGGAGGAACACCAGUUGCGAAGGCGGCUCUCUGGACUGUAACUGACACUGAGGCACGAAAGCGUGGGGAGCAAACAGGAUUAGAUACCCCGGUAGUCCCUGAG